UACUGUAGAUAUUUGCUUUUUUUUUUUUCCUUUUCACAAGUAGUCAUUCACCUAUUUUAUUUUAGAUCAUCGGAUCCAAGUUCUGCACCAGAAGCAUAUGAUGCAUGAACAUAAACUUUCAGAAAAACAAGAUGAAGUGUUAAGCACACCUGUGAAUAUGACAGAUGUAAAAGGCAAGUAUUCCCAGUUUUUAAAUUUCUUAUCUAUCCUCUUGGGAUAGAAUUCAUCCCUGUGCAGAAGGCCAGCACAAAGUCUGUGCAUUACUUACGUCCCACUUCAACUUUAAAAAAUUGAGCUUAAGUGAAACUUAAAUAGUGCACAGACCUUGUGUUAGCCAUCUGAAUUUCACACCUAUUGUGUGCACAUACAGAAUUAUGAUUUUAAUAUGUGCAAUUAUAUAGUUUCAGGGCCAUCUGUAAAAACACAGUUAUUACCAAGUGGAGUGCACAUUGAUGUGCAAGAGAUGUUAUCUUCUAACAGUGUGACAACAAAAGCAGCUCAGGUUUCUAACGGUUCUUCAAUGCUGAUUAUUAACAAGCUGCAGAAGAUUUUCCCAAAUAUACUUUUGGACACUCAGUCAAAAUAUAAGAAAGUGGAUAAUGAAAACAAAGAAGAGGGUAAAAAGAAAAGGAUGUUGUUUCCUGAUUUGGAGGAAGAUAAAAAUACUGGUAAUAACAAAGACAGCUUAACAAGAACUAAUAUUACUAUAAGAUUCCAUUCCAAUGAUAAUUCAAGCCAAACUCAGAUUGAUAUUUACAAUUUAAAAAAUUCAAGAGCGAAUCCUGAGGUGCAUAUUGUCGCCAGCAAUAUUAUUGACCAACAAAAUAAAAUAAAUUCAGUAGUAGUACAAGAUGAUGUUUUGCAAGUGACCGUAAACAGUUCACUGGAUAAAAAAAUACAGAAUAAUACAAAAGUAAGAGGAAAAAGUCUUGCAAAAAUUGAGGUUGGAAAUAUGGAAAGAAACUCCACAGGUAGCAACAGGAAAAAACUUCUUAUAGCAGAUUUGACAACCAAUAGUAUGAAAAAAACAAGUAGUCAUUCAGCAUUUUUUGAAG
rnacentral:lncRNA from 1 species